CACCCAGAAAAGGAUCUUAAGAUAUUUUAUUUCUGAACAAUUAUUAAACCUUAACUAUUCUGAAAGAAGGUUUUCAGAAUUCUUUACCUUUUCAGCAUUUCUGCCUUCGCUGCACUUUGAAUUAUGAGCGUUUCAGGUUAAAAAGCAGCUUUUUUGCAUGGAAUGAUUUAAAGUUUUGCUCCUUAAAUAGAGAUCAGAAAGCCCAACUGUGGAAUCCUCGGGAUUGCAUUUAGGACUCAUAUUUUCAGCACAGCACGGGGCACAUGCAUCUCGUCCAGGAUGUCAAUGGAGCAAACGGUAUCUCAAGCAGAAGUGUUUCUCAUUGUCUGGUGGAAUAGACCUUUACAAUGUUCUCAAAUUUUCAAUCUGUCAGCGUGCUGUGGUAACAGUUGCUCUCCAUUACAUCAGGAAGCAGCUAGCCUACCACAAGGGGCUUUUUCUGAGUUCUCACACAGCACAUAAUGCUAAAUUGAUUCAGCAGGAAUGUCAGAAGAGAGGUGUUUAAGGUGAGUAGUGUUACUGCUGCGGCUCCUGCUUUCGCAGUCCAAUUUAUUGUGGAGGUCUCUGGAGGUUUGCAAGUAGGCUACAGCAUCAGCAGCAAGCAAAUGUCAGUUUUUCAGAGAAGAGAUGUAAAAAAAAAAAAACAAAAAAAAAAAAAGUGGUGAUAAUAAAUAACUAGUCCUCCACACUUCUUGCUAAUUGCAGCCACAUCUUGACAACCAGUAACCCGGUUUAUCUCCACAGAUUUCCACGUUUAGUUUGUGGUUUCUGUCUCGUGCCGCAGUGAUGCUUCCAGGAAACAUCGAAGUGAACUCUGUGCCUCUCUGGUUCAUUUUACUUUAGUUUCAUUAUGAUGAAAUUUAGAGCGGGACUACAGGAUCGUUUUUGAAGCACUGACUCGCAAACUUCACAGCAGCGAGAAAACAGAAGAACAACAUUAGAAGCCCUCAUGCAAUCAUGAAAACCAACAUAAACCUCUAGGUCAUGUGAGGAAGAAGAAGGAGGCUGGCUUUAAAUUACUUUUUUUUUUUUUUUUUUUUUUUUUUACAAACACUCUCACUAGUUUGAAUUUUGCAGUAAAAAAAUCAGUCUUUGUUUAAAGAGUUUGCGGAAGUCUGAUUUAUUAUUUACAUUUUACCUGGAGCCUCUGCUGCUGAACAUUGUUGUUCAGCUGCAGAAAUUAUGAAGGUUUU
ensembl:lncRNA